rnacentral:rRNA from 1 species
GACGAACGCUGGCGGCGUGCUUAACACAUGCAAGUCGAACGGAAAGGCCCUGCUUUUGUGGGGUGCUCGAGUGGCGAACGGGUGAGUAACACGUGAGUAACCUGCCCUUGACUUUGGGAUAACUUCAGGAAACUGGGGCUAAUACCGGCUAGGAGCUCCUGCUGCAUGGUGGGGGUUGGAAAGUUUCGGCGGUUGGGGAUGGACUCGCGGCUUAUCAGCUUGUUGGUGGGGUAGUGGCUUACCAAGACUUUGACGGGUAGCCGGCCUGAGAGGGUGACCGGCCACAUUGGGACUGAGAUACGGCCCAGACUCCUACGGGAGGCAGCAGUGGGGAAUAUUGCACAAUGGGCGGAAGCCUGAUGCAGCAACGCCGCGUGCGGGAUGACGGCCUUCGGGUUGUAAACCGCUUUCGCCUGUGACGAAGCGUGAGUGACGGUAAUGGGUAAAGAAGCACCGGCUAACUACGUG